rnacentral:lncRNA from 1 species
GGGAAAGAGGUGGCAUCGGCGGUUCAAGACUGAGUUUUCUAUCUCUUCAGUGCCUCUUUCAACAAUGAAGAUCAAACCAGGUACUGAGGUAGUGGGAGUGCUCAUCUAGUUUUUGGCUUUUAGUUUUGUGCAAAUAUCUGCUGAGUGAACUACUUAUUUGAAAAUACAUCAUUGGUUAAUAUUCCCUUUUGCUCAUUGAAAUCUCAAAGACUACAGACCCCGCACAAGACAUUCUGACAUUCCCGUCUUUGAAAUGAAUGACAGCAAUGAUAAAUAUGGCUCACCUCCAGAGAUACAGAUCUCACAACUUCAUAUUUUUAAUAUAAAUUAUUAAUCUGAGGUGUGGUGCAAUUCCAUUAGAUGAAAGAGAUCUACACAUUCAGAAGCACAUGAUUCUUCCCCCUUCCAUGAUUCCAGUGGCCAAUAGACAAACUACAAUAAAGCCAUGCCCUGACUGGAUGUGCCUAACAUUUGUCUGGUGCUUAAAGGAGUUGGCUGCAUGCGUGGAAAUGUUGGAAAGUCACCAAAAAUAGUUCUCCAAGUCAGAAGCGGUGCAAAAGCUGCCUCAGCUCUUGGUGGAUUUUCAAUUUCUCCCAGCCAUCUCUGUUUCGCUAAAGGUUUCUGAAGACAGUGGAUAAUGAAGAUAUUAUACCAUUAUAUGCUCUUGAAUCUGUCUCAUUGUGACUUGGCGAAGAGGCAGUGAAUCUGCCAAAAAGAAGUAGAGCAGCUGUGAAGAUGCCAACACAAUUGAGUACUCUUUCUCUACAUAUUUCUAAAUAUGGCAAUUUAUUGGACACUUAUGAGCAUGGAAUGACAAUGGGGUCAAUUUAACCAUACGGCAAUGCUGAGACACCUUCAUUAUGACCUUUCCCUGGUAUAAGUUAUGUGAUAAUGAAUGCAUGUUUAGUCACACACUGUAGGUACAGAUGGGAAAAAAGAAAGCAUAAAAUAUAAAACAUGAUGUCCAGGUUUCAAAUAAGAAUUCUAAAAUGUUAUUUAAUUAAUGAAAUGAAAAUACUUUACUUUAGAAAAAGAAUAUUGAAUCUCUUUGAUGUAUAAAAUGUAUAUUUCAAAUUAAAAAUUCAAAAGAAACAAA